GACGAACGCUGGCGGCGUGCUUAACACAUGCAAGUCGAACGGAAAGGCCCUGCUUUUGUGGGGUGCUCGAGUGGCGAACGGGUGAGUAACACGUGAGUAACCUGCCCUUGACUUUGGGAUAACUUCAGGAAACUGGGGCUAAUACCGGAUAGGAGCUCCUGCUGCAUGGUGGGGGUUGGAAAGUUUCGGCGGUUGGGGAUGGACUCGCGGCUUAUCAGCUUGUUGGUGGGGUAGUGGCUUACCAAGGCUUUGACGGGUAGCCGGCCUGAGAGGGUGACCGGCCACAUUGGGACUGAGAUACGGCCCAGACUCCUACGGGAGGCAGCAGUGGGGAAUAUUGCACAAUGGGCGGAAGCCUGAUGCAGCAACGCCGCGUGCGGGAUGACGGCCUUCGGGUUGUAAACCGCUUUCGCCUGUGACGAAGCGUGAGUGACGGUAAUGGGUAAAGAAGCACCGGCUAACUACGUGCCAGCAGCCGCGGUGAUACGUAGGGUGCGAGCGUUGUCCGGAUUUAUUGGGCGUAAAGGGCUCGUAGGUGGUUGAUCGCGUCGGAAGUGUAAUCUUGGGGCUUAACCCUGAGCGUGCUUUCGAUACGGGUUGACUUGAGGAAGGUAGGGGAGAAUGGAAUUCCUGGUGGAGCGGUGGAAUGCGCAGAUAUCAGGAGGAACACCAGUGGCGAAGGCGGUUCUCUGGGCCUUUCCUGACGCUGAGGAGCGAAAGCGUGGGGAGCGAACAGGCUUAGAUACCCUGGUAGUCCACGCUGUAAACGGUGGGUACUAGGUGUGGGGUCCAUUCCACGGGUUCCGUGCCGUAGCUAACGCUUUAAGUACCCCGCCUGGGGAGUACGGCCGCAAGGCUAAAACUCAAAGGAAUUGACGGGGCCCCGCACAAGCGGCGGAGCCAUGCGGAUUAAUUCGAUGCAACGCGUAGAACCUUACCUGGGUUUGACAUGGAUCGGGAGUGCUCAGAGAUGGGUGUGCCUCUUUUGGGGUCGGUUCACAGGUGGUGCAUGGCUGUCGUCAGCUCGUGUCGUGAGAUGUUGGGUUAAGUCCCGCAACGAGCGCAACCCUUGUUCACUGUUGCCAGCACGUUAUGGUGCGGACUCAGUGGAUACCGCCCGGGGUCAGCUCGGAUGAACGUGGGGAUCAUGUCCAGUCAUCAUGCCCCUCAAUGUCACCGGCUUCACGCAUGCACCAAUGGCUCGGACACAGAGUGGCCAGCUCUGUCUGUGUGAGCCAAAUCUCCGAAACCCGUCCUCAUCUCCCAUGGCGGCCUGCAACUCCACCUCCUUCAAGUCGGAUUCUCUUCUAACCCCAGAUUCACUCACCUUGUCAAUAAUUCCGUCCCUGGUCUU
rnacentral:rRNA from 1 species